AGUGAACGCUGGCGGUAGGCCUAACACAUGCAAGUCGAACGGCAGCACAGGAGAGCUUGCUCUCUGGGUGGCGAGUGGCGGACGGGUGAGGAAUACAUCGGAAUCUAAUUUUUCGUGGGGGAUAACGUAGGGACACUUACGCUAAUACCGCAUACGACCUACGGGUGAAAGCAGGGGAUCUUCGGACCUUGCGCGAUUGAAUGAGCCGAUGUCGGAUUAGCUAGUUGGCGGGGUAAAGGCCCACCAAGGCGACGAUCCGUAGCUAGUCUGAGAGGAUGAUCAGCCACACUGGAACUGAGACACGGUCCAGACUCCUACGGGAGGCAGCAGUGGGGAAUAUUGGACAAUGGGCGCAAGCCUGAUCCAGCCAUACCGCGUGGGUGAAGAAGGCCUUCGGGUUGUAAAGCCCUUUUGUUGGGAAAGAAAUCCAGCUGGUUAAUACCCGGUCGGGAUGACGGUACCCAAAGAAUAAGCACCGGCUAACUUCGUGCCAGCCGCCGCCGUAA
rnacentral:rRNA from 1 species